AACGCUGGGCGGCGUGCCUAACACAUGCAAGUCGAGCGGAGUUAUCUGACGGAAGGCUUCGGCCGGAAGACAGAUAACUUAGCGGCGGGACGGGUGAGUAACGCGUGAGCAACCUGUCCUCUACGAGGGGGAUAAGACAGCGAAAGUUGUUCUAAUACCGCAUAAGACCACGGGAUCACAUGGUCCAAGGGUCAAAGGAGCAAUCCGGUAGAGGGUGGGCUCGCGUCCGAUUAGAUAGUUGGUGAGGUAACGGCCCAUCAAGUCAACGAUCGGUAGCCGACCUAAGAGGGUGAUCGGCCACAUUGGGACUGAGACACGGCCCAGACUCC
rnacentral:rRNA from 1 species